GUGAUACCUUAACAGUCAAUCGAAACAGCUAUAAAUGACUAACAGGUGGAGCAUACUGGACAAAGGGAUGAUUCACAUCCUGAGCAGGAAGGAGCUGGACUGGUAAGUGAAACCAUGGGCUUCUCUGGCGGCUCAAUGGGUAAAGAAUCUGCCUGCAAUGCAGACGACCGAGUUCAAUCCCUGGAAGAUCCCCUGGAGAAGGAAAUGGAAACCCACACCAGUAUUCUUGCCUGGAAAAUUCCAUGGACAGGAGCCUGGCGGGCUACAGUCCAUGGGAUCACAAGAAUUGGACACGACUUAGCAACUAAACCACCACCACCACAGGUGAAACCACGCAAAGCAAAAGCCUUGGAGAAGAAGGGACUGCUGUGUUGCCUUUUAACUAGAAAAUGACUCUCCAGGAGAACAAAUGAAGAAAUAAUUUUUCCCCAGAAUUUAUCAGCAUAAACUUAAAAUCUUGAGAAUCUGAGCAGUGAAAAAGAGUUAACACUGAAUCCAAGUUUUCAGUAAAGAAACAAAAGGUGAUUUUACAACCUUCUAUGUUUUGCACUCAAAUGGACUUACUCAAAUAUUCCUGUUAUUCUUCAACAUUUGCUCUCAGAAUUUUCUUCCAAAAAUCUAAUCGAAAUAUUAUCACACCAUGUAAAAUUAGGAACUCUAUACAUCUGCUUCCAGAUCAUAAGACAUUAAGAGUAGGUAAGACUUAGGUCAAGGCUGACCAUCUCCAACCACAGACUACCAGAACCGAAGGGGAAUUUAGGAAUCUUCUAUUCCACCCUCUCCCACAGGGACAGAGAUAACCACAGCACUCACAGAUGACCUUCAGGACUGAUUGGUUGACCAACUGAUUUUGAUACCAACUGAUUUAGCUUAACUGGCAAAUACCUUCACAAUUAUUUGAAAAGAAACUUAUUUUUCAUUCAGUGCGUUUUACAAUGUAACACAUACACAUACACUGACACCACCCAUCCCUCCAGAAGAAGCACAAACCCCAAAUAUUUCUCUAGAACGGGAGCUGCCCACUGCAGGCCUCUGUCUAAGGG
ensembl:lncRNA